GCCGGAUUAGCGCAAUUGGCAGAGCAACUGAUUUGUAAUCAGUAGGUUGUAGGUUCAAGUCCUAUAUCCGGCACCA
rnacentral:tRNA from 1 species